rnacentral:lncRNA from 1 species
CAAGGCGGGUCCCAAACCCAGCGCACAACCCUAUGUGGGAGGAUCUGCUCCACAUAAUUUUCAAUUAAAUGACUGACAAUUUUUGAUUGCACUUUGAUGAGGCAUUUUUAAUCUUUAAUAAAAUUGAAUGAACUGUUUCGGAAUAAAAUUUAUCAUACUACAGAGGUAGAACAAAAAGUAUGUUCACAGUUAAGCCUUUUAACGAAGUAUCAACUAACGAAUUACCAAAUUAACAGGCUUCGGUCUGAAUACCCCUAAUGCUUAAUUAGCCUCUAAUCUCAGUUUGUUAACUACUAGUCAAAUAACAACUGAUGUUGGAAAUAUGUAAUCGACUAUUGCUUUCACUGAUACUUUGUUGAAUUGUCUUAUGAAUAUAAUAUUGAGUCUGAUAUUGAAAGUCAUCGUUUCGCUGUGAGACAGCGACACUUUUAUUGGUGCACCUCAUUCUUUCGUGUAGACUUCACAGUGGUACCAACAUUGAAAUCCAGAAAUAUGACGGUGCUGCCAUUUAUUUCCGUUAAGAGAUGUAUUUCUUAAACUCUACACUGUGAAUAGUAAAUACUAGUUAAUCAAUAGUUAACAUUUUAGUUUACCAACGGUUAACUAAAAGCUGUGAAUUCGGCCCUUAAAGUUAUACUUGUAAUUAGCGAUUUUUGAAAGUAUCGCGGACGCACUUCGUUAUGGUGCUAACAAAUAAAACUACCAUUCAGGACGGAGGUAACCAAUUCACAACUACAUUUGAAAAGGAAAAUUCUGUUCUAAGAAUAGCAACAUUCAUCAUAUACAACUUUUGAAUGUGAAAGACGGAGAUGCACAUACUGACAAUGACACUUUUAAAAAUUGCCUUAAUUGAAUCGCCAUUCGAAGAAAAUUUUGAAGAGCGUCAGAACAGGAAAAAUCGAGGAACCAUUAUAUAUAUUUGAUAUUUGAAAUUUCAUGCAGCCACACAUAUUUCCUCGGCAAAUCUUAUAACUUGCACUGGCAGUCUUUGAACAAUUACGCCCGAGCUUCAUGAGACCAGUUGUAGAAUCCUUCAAACAUCUCAAUUCAAAUCAGCCAACAACUGUAACAUAUCCACAGGCUAGUUCGGUGAGUAAAAGCUUAAAGAAGCAGUUAGUAGCGUGGAUCGUGAUAGUUCGUGGAUCCUACGAAUGCAAUGCCACAAUUUGACCGUUAGAUUUGGGUGCGUCUCAGUGUGAAAUACAUCGCGCUAUACCAAAGAUAGGCAAGCAAGAACAAACGCUACAGAAACGCAUUUUAGAGGAGGUACCCUCAAUAAGGAAAUGCGAUUGGACUCCGUGUUAUUUGAAAAUUUAGUUUUCAACAAUAGUGACAACCACAAAAUGGGCGUUCGAAUGGUUGAUUGGUGAUACGUGUUUACAGCAGGGAUUAGAAACCUUGGCGAAAAGUUCGCGCAGAGUUUGGAUUCGCCAAUAGUGGUUUCAUGAAAAGAUAUUAGAUUCAUCAAACAAAAAGUGGAAGGACUCUGAACACAAUUGUAGAAAAUGUGCGUCUCUUGGCGAAUAACAAUGCAUUGGUAGUGCCUUCGUCAGGAUACGAUCCAACAACACCAUGAAGAUUGUCAUAUGGGCGCUUUGAAGAAUACCAUUGAGAUGCUUGUAUGGGUUCUUUUCGCACAGACAACACACACCCAAUAAAUGCAUUUAAUGAAAAAAAUGCAUUAUCCGCCGGGAACUGGUACAAUAAUAUUAAUUGUUCGUUUAAGGAACAUGUAUAAACAAAGUAACUAUAAAAUGCUGUGUGCAGUCUUUGAACAACAAAUGUAACAUUUUGUAUAGCAUUUGCGGACGAGCAAUUAACUACUUUCACGAAUGCUUUGAAGAAAUGAAUUAGUAUGAUUGGCACAAAUAGUCACGGCAUUGCGACAAUUCCGUCGGCGGAAUGCGU